rnacentral:rRNA from 1 species
CAGUAGCCGCGGUAAUACGGAGGGUGCAAGCGUUAUCCGGAUUUAUUGGGUUUAAAGGGUCCGUAGGCGGACUUAUAAGUCAGUGGUGAAAGCCUGUCGCUUAACGAUAGAACUGCCAUUGAUACUGUAAGUCUUGAGUAUAUUUGAGGUAGCUGGAAUAAGUAGUGUAGCGGUGAAAUGCAUAGAUAUUACUUAGAACACCAAUUGCGAAGGCAGGUUACCAAGAUAUAACUGACGCUGAUGGACGAAAGCGUGGGUAGCGAACAGGAUUAGAUACCCGAGUAGUCCCUGUCUCUUAUAU